UACGUAGGGUGCGAGCGUUGUCCGGAAUUAUUGGGCGUAAAGAGCUCGUAGGCGGUUUGUCGCGUCUGCCGUGAAAGUCCGGGGCUCAACUCCGGAUCUGCGGUGGGUACGGGCAGACUAGAGUGAUGUAGGGGAGACUGGAAUUCCUGGUGUAGCGGUGAAAUGCGCAGAUAUCAGGAGGAACACCGGUGGCGAAGGCGGUUCUCUGGGCAUUACCUGACGCUGAGGAGCGAAAGUGUGGGGAGCGAACAGG
rnacentral:rRNA from 1 species